rnacentral:lncRNA from 1 species
UGCGUUGACUUUCAUUUCAAUCGUUCCCUGGUUUCUUCCAGUGAAUCUACAAGUUAUCUAUUUCCAUUUAUUUGUUUAUCGGUUUGACCAUCAGUUUGAACAACCAGAGUUGUUUAUACCAUAUCUCUGACUCUGUCCAUUCUUGCAGUUAGUUUUAAAAAAUUGAAACCUCCAUCCGCAGCUCGUGAGCGUCCAUGGUAUUGCGUCA